rnacentral:rRNA from 1 species
GAUGAACGCUGGCGGCGUGCCUAAUACAUGCAAGUCGAGCGAACAGACGAGGAGCUUGCUCCUCUGACGUUAGCGGCGGACGGGUGAGUAACACGUGGAUAACCUACCUAUAAGACUGGGAUAACUUCGGGAAACCGGAGCUAAUACCGGAUAAUAUAUUGAACCGCAUGGUUCAAUAGUGAAAGACGGUUUUGCUGUCACUUAUAGAUGGAUCCGCGCCGCAUUAGCUAGUUGGUAAGGUAACGGCUUACCAAGGCAACGAUGCGUAGCCGACCUGAGAGGGUGAUCGGCCACGCUGGAACUGAGACACGGUCCAGACUCCUACGGGAGGCAGCAGUAGGGAAUCUUCCGCAAUGGGGGAAAGCCUGACGGAGCAACGCCGCGUGAGUGAUGAAGGUCUUCGGAUCGUAAAACUCUGUUAUUAGGGAAGAACAAAUGUGUAAGUAACUAUGCACGUCUUGACGGUACCUAAUCAGAAAGCCACGGCUAACUACGUG